rnacentral:misc_RNA from 1 species
UCGCGGCUUAUCACCGGCAGUCCCCCUAGAGUGCCCAACUCAAUGAUGGCAACUAGGGGCAAGGGUUGCGCUCGUUGCGGGACUUAACCCAACAUCUCACGACACGAGCUGACGACAGCCAUGCAGCACCUGUGUCCAGGUUCCCUUUCGGGCACCCCCUCAUCUCUGAGGGGUUCCUGGCAUGUCAAGGGUAGGUAAGGUUUUUCGCGUUGCAUCGAAUUAAUCCACAUAAUCCACCGCUUGUGCGGGUCCCCGUCAAUUCCUUUGAGUUUUAGCCUUGCGGCCGUACUCCCCAGGCGGGGCACUUAAUGCGUUAGCUACGGCACGGACAACGUGGAUGUCGCCCACACCUAGCGCCCAACGUUUACAGCGUGGACUAC